CUAACAAGGAUUCCCCUAGUAACUGCGAGUGAACCGGGAAGAGCUCAAAUUUAAAAUCUGGCGGUCCUCUAGCGGCCGUCCGAGUUGUAACCUAGAGAAGCGUCUAUCCGCGCUGGACCGUGUACAAGUCUCUUGGAAAAGAGCAUCAUAGAGGGUGACAAUCCCGUCUUUGACACGGAUCCCCAGGGCUUAUGUGAUCCGCUCUCGAUGAGUCGAGUUGUUUGGGAAUGCAGCUCAAAAUGGGUGGUAAAUUCCAUCUAAAGCUAAAUACAGGGGAGAGACCGAUAGCGAACAAGUACCGUGAGGGAAAGAUGAAAAGAACUUUGAAAAGAGAGUUAAACAGUACGUGAAAUUGUUGAAAGGGAAACGCUUCAAGUCAGUCACAUUGGUUGGGGAUCAACUUGCCUAUCAGGCAGGAGCACUUCCCGCCCAAUGGGUCAGCAUCAAUUUUGACCAUUGGAUAAAGGUCAAGGGGAAUGUGGCAUCCUUCACCGGAUGUGUUUAUAGCCUCUUGGUUGCAUACAACGGUUGGGAUUGAGGAACUCAGCACGCCUUCAAUGGCCGGGGGCUUUAUGCCCUACGUCUACGUGCUUAGGAUGCUGGCAUAAUGGCUUCAAUCGACCCGUCUUGAA
rnacentral:rRNA from 1 species